UAAAAAAUUGGGCCUUCGACUUUGCUCAUGUUAGGAUGAGGUUCUCCUCCUGUUCCUAACAAGGCUGUGGGGGCACAUAAGGGCCGUUGUGAGGGCCUCUCCCCCCAUCCGAUCUUUAGAAAAUCGGGCCUUCGACUUUGCUCAUGUUAGGAUGAGGUUCUCCUCCUGUUCCUAACAUGCUUAGUUUAGUUUGUAUGGAGGAGUUAUCUCCCAUC
rnacentral:lncRNA from 1 species